rnacentral:rRNA from 1 species
AUUGAACGCUGGCGGCAUGCCUUACACAUGCAAGUCGAACGGCAGCACGGGGGCAACCCUGGUGGCGAGUGGCGAACGGGUGAGUAAUACACCGGAACGUGUCCUGUAGUGGGGGAUAGCCCGGCGAAAGCCGGAUUAAUACCGCAUACGAUCUACGGAAGAAAGCGGGGGAUCCUUCGGGACCUCGCGCUAUAGGGGCGGCCGAUGGCAGAUUAGCUAGUUGGUGGGGUAAAGGCCUACCAAGGCGACGAUCUGUAGCUGGUCUGAGAGGACGACCAGCCACACUGGGACUGAGACACGGCCCAGACUCCUACGGGAGGCAGCAGUGGGGAAUUUUGGACAAUGGGGGAAACCCUGAUCCAGCAAUACCGCGUGUGUGAAGAAGGCCUUCGGGUUGUAGAGCUCUUUUGUCCGGAAAGAAAACCUUUGGGCUAAUACCCUGAGGGGAUGACG